AAGAGUCACACCCAGUUUCACACACAGACGUUGGCUCGAGCCCAGAACAAACGAGGUGUGUGUUGUCGGUGUUUACAUACCACAGCCAGACAUGAUUGACAUUUGACAGGUAGCUUCCCUCACAGAGAACCUGCUGCCUCACGGUUAGGGCUCUUUUAUUCCUUUGCAAGCGUGGAUUGUUUUACAGUGACCCACUCAACGACAGCCACAAAGCUUCAUUUACAUGCAAUCAGCUGAUAUCUGUCAUGUGAACAGAAAACAGGGUUUCUGGUGGAGGCCUGAGGUUUCCCAUGAAACCUGACACAGGCACGCUAGCGGAUGCUAACAGAUGCUAAUGUGUGUCAGAUGAAGGUUUGAUACAGGACGGGCAGAUGGAGCUGCUGAGCAGAGUGAUUGGCUCAGAUGGACCAAUCAGGGGGACGCAGCUCACCUGAGGAACCUGCCGCUGGAGCCUCGGUCCAUCUCGCGCUUCACAACACGCCGACUCACGAGGCGCCAGCCGUCACUGUCGCUGCGGUAUGAAGACCUGCAGCCCGUUCUCCUUCGCGUUCCACAUCUGUGACAACACACCGUGUUCAUUUUCCAAAAUGAAACAAACACUUCACGCUUCACGGCCGAGGACGAGCGGAAUAUCUGAGGAAGCUCACUGGUUCACACAAGUGUGGUCGUUACUCCUGUGGACAAACUCGAUGGACGGUUGUUUGUUUUCCACAGAAGUCACAAGCUGAAGCUAACGUUACAUAGCGAAGCUGUGGGAGGCUGGUUCUUAUCUGAUCCAGACCAUUUAGGAGACACCUGUGGCAUCCGGGUCCGUACAGUAGCUCCUACGAAGGAGGUCCGGUGCUGGUGGGCAGAGCGGGCCGACAGCUGCAGGCAGGAAGCAGAGGUGACAGAAAGGAACGCCUUGAUUUAUGGAGCGGAGGUUUAACGAGGAGGAGGAGCAGAGCAGCACAGAGCCCGGGAUGGACACCGGGUCAGAACCGCGUCUCUCCAGGGGUGCUGAAAUAGAAGCGAUGGGAUUGUCAGCGGUCCUCCGGCCCGCUGGCUGUUCACCCCCGGGCUCCGGUGCUGACAGGUGUGAGGAGGGGGCUGCUCAGACGUGUUUGGUCCUGGAGGUGAACCUGUGGGUCCAACGUGAGAGGAGCACAGGAGAGAACAGGUUGUCUCACACUGAAGCCCUGGGUGAAACAGGACGUGUGGCUUCUGAUGUGUUUCUACGGAGAGACCAUCACAUGCUGCUUCCACCUCAUUCUGCUUCACAUCGUGGGUUCCGGAACCAAACUAGGUCCAGAGUUUGAAACAGGGCAAAGCCAGAAUCCGACUGCAGGGCACCAACCGUGGAUCAUUUCCCUGCUUCUCACCCGGCCGCGUGGACGUUCAGACAUCUGUGGACUUGUCGCUGACAUAUUGGAGGCAGAUUUGUGGCGCCGGGCGGUGCAGGUCAUUUACACGCAGCGCAUGGUGACGGCAGAGGUUGUGCUGAGACACAUCGUCCGUCCGCGUCCUCGUGAGCUCCCCGCCGAGCGGCCUGCUUCACAUGGAUAUGUGAGGUGUCACUUUGUAAUCGAGUCUUCUCUGGCUUUAACAGCCUGUGGAGAUGAAGCCUGUCGGUCUGGGCAGAACUGUACAUACUGGACAUAUAGAGCAAACACAAACUGACCCAAAUAUAUAAGUUCAACAAGUUGAGUUUGAUCUGAGUUUGUCAAAUCUGGUUCAGAUUUGAUAACGUCCACGGCUACCAUGCUAACGCUAACGGCUAGCGUGGGCAGAUGUGAGUGUCUUGGCUGGUGCCAACUGUCACCGUUAGGUCAAAGGUCACAGAGUCAAACCUCCAGACACAAGCUGGACCAUGACAGCACACGUCGCGCGGUGUGACUAUGUCUGAUCGUUUUAAAGGGUCCGAUGUGUUCUCAUGUAUUUACUGCUCGUCCUGUAACAUUGAGACAAAUGUGGUUCGACGAGCUCCACUGUGACAGAACCACAUUUGUGUUGUAAUUCUUUGAAGGAAACUGUCAGUUUCUUUCAUCUCCAGCACAUAAACGAGAACACAUGAACACGUGAAACCAACCCAUUCAUUCUGUCGCCAUGUGACACCACAGUCUGGUUCGUCAUUACUCACUGUAAGGAAAUGAAGGAGGAACUACUUCACUGAGGAUCUUAGCCAGUGCUACCAUCAAACACAGUGGUUUCAUUCACUGAGCUGUAUAAAAAUAUUAUCAUAAAAUAAUUCCUUCUGUGCUUCAACUAACGGAGAUGCAGUUGCUUCCACUUCGGUCCCUCUGCUGCAGGUUCUCAGUCAAACCCAGUGACAUAAACAGGUUUCUGCCUUCAUUCUCUGCUGUCCGUCAUCACACUCUUAAAUUACUGACAGAUGUGUGAGUGACAUCUAAAGGCUCUUUUCAGUCUGUAAUUGGGGAGAAUCUUGUAAAUCAAAGGUGAGAUUGAAGCGGGGACUCCCUGGAAGGCCCUGGAGGCCUGUGGCUGUGCAGCCCACAGUGAGAACCUGUUGCUGAGCUCGUCUGUCACUCAGCGCGUCAGAAGCGCCGGCGGCCGACGCUCAUCUCCUAAACGGUAAUUUAUGUGCUGUUCCAGGGGACAAAUUGCUGCAGGAGCUGCACCAUUAGUUAAACUGCAUUUCCCAGCAGCAUGUUUCCACCUGCAGCACAGCUAUGCCAAAAAUGCCACAGCUCAGCUCAGCUCAGCACCGGGCCGGGUCGGGCCCGGUUUGGAGUCACUGAAGGACGGUGUCUGCUCGGAACACGACUCAUCCCAUGCACUUCAACAACAGCGCUGCAAAUAAAUGCUACAGCAGGUUAAUCAGUGAGCUGAUGGGCUGUGAAAGCGCUGCACAUGGAUGGGUUUUAGAAUGGGUUCAUAUCAGCAAACGCUGCAUCAGCAUCAGAUGCUGGAGCCAGAUGUGAUGUCACACUGCAGAUGUGCCCAGGUUCCUCUUCAUGCUCAGGGAUGAAUGUUGACUUGAUAUAAACCAUCCCUGGUUCUGACUCCAGCUCCACUGUGACCUCAGAAAGGAACAGACCAGAACCAGAACCAGAACCAGGUACUGCGUAGCAUCAGGUGGAUCGGCGAGUUUCAACGUGGAGCGGUUUGAGUGAUCCGUCAUCACCUGACGCAGAUCAUCUCUGAUCUCAAACACGAGUGACUAAGCAGCCGUAGGUGUGACCGUCUGUGUCCAUGUGCCCUGUGCUGGACCGGUCCACGGCUCCGGUCCAAUGACAGACGGCUCCGGGAAAAGGAUGUGGAGCAACAGACAGUGAAAAGGUUUCAACAAAUUGGAG